rnacentral:lncRNA from 1 species
UAGAGUUGAGUACAUGGAGACAAUAAAGUAAAUCAUCAUAAACUGGGUUAUACAAUUAGAACACAUCUCGUUCAAAAUACGUAAAAAGGCUUAUGAAUCUCAUAAAAAUCUAGGCUUGUGCCAUAAAUCCAUUCUCGGGGACACCUUGGCCGAGGCAUCCUACCGAGACCGCCAAGGCUAUUAAAAUUCACAUUUCACAUAAAUCAUGUUUUUGUUUUGAAAACAUAGCCGUUCCUUGGCGUUGGCUGAGUUCCCCUUCACGUGGUGGUUUGGCGUGAAGUGAACCCUAAGCUUUACCCCAGGAGAUACCCUACGCGCCUCUCCGUUCGAGGUAAGAAUAUAAUGGGGUUUACCGUGCCCCUCUAAAAGGCUGGUCCACAGAAACCCCCUACUGCAGUGAUUAAUUAAUAUAUAAUCCACCAUAUAAUAAAACUCAAUAACAUGAUAUGGCAAUUUUGUAAUUCGUAGUUUUUCAAGGUAACCAAACAAUUCGCAUUUCAAUACAAUUGCCAACUAGCCAAUCAUGCUCGAUUUAUCAUAAGCCAGUUAAUUUAAACAAUCAAAUUGCCACAAUUAACAGUCUCCGUGUACUCUAUUUUUCAAAAUCACUAUUAAUUUCAAAACAAUUUAUAAUUUAAUUUCAUUGAAACUCAUUUAUUCAUAAAACAUGAAAAUUUAUCUUUUUAAAUUCCUUUUUCCAUAGAAUUCAUGAAAGCAUCUAAAAACCACCCUAGAUAAUUAAAAUGACAGUAAGUUUACUCACAAUGUCUAGAAUGCAGACUUUCGAAGCACUCUGUCUACUGGUCCUCGGAUGCAAUUUCCUUGCCUUUAUCGGAGGACUCACCACCUUGACACAGUACAAAAUCGAGAGUUUCACCAAGUUGGUACUAAAUCAAAAUUAAACUAAUUUAGACUACCAAUGCAUGAUAUGGAAUGCAAAAAUGCACUGGUAACUAUCUAAACCCGGUAUUGGCCUAAUUCGUCUUAUCACCCGAUUAAAUUCCUAACGGGUCCGUUUAAACUCCAAUUUAAUUCUUUUCAGUUUCUAUACCUCAAUUGCACCCAAAUUAACUUAAUGUCCCUCAGUGUGGUGCAAAUUAUCAGUCCCAACAGCAAAUUACGAAAAUACCCCUAGUGGGUAAAAAUUCGUAUUUUUGCUCCGAAAAUUCCCAUUAUUUUUCUAGGCUCAUAAUUCAUCAUUCCUUAACCAAUUCUCCUAGAAUAAAAUCAAACUCAUCCUCACUCACUACAUGGUAAAUUCAGCCAUUAAUGGUUGGGGGAGAAAAUAAAUUCUUUUCUUGUUGUUUUGUUUCUAAAUAUGCUAAACUAACUAAAAACACUAACAUAAAUUAAAAUCAAAUAAAUCCAACAACUUUCUCUCUCCUAACCCAUUUUUUCAGAAUUGAAUUCAUCAUGAAAACAUGUAAUUUAAUCAUGGAAAAUAAAGAGAAAUGCUUGGGAAUAAGAAAACUCAAGCUUAAUAGAAAAAAUCUCACCUUUUUCACUUAAUUUCCUUGAAAAUUCACACUUUUUCU